rnacentral:rRNA from 1 species
UACAGGGGGUGCAAACGUUGCUCGGAAUUAUUGGGCGUAAAGCGCACGUAGGCGGUUCGUUAUGUCGGAUGUGAAAGCCCUUGGCUUAACCGAGGAAGUGCAUCCGAAACUGGCGAGCUAGAGUACUAAAGAGGAUCGCGGAAUUCCCGGUGUAGAGGUGAAAUUCGUAGAUAUCGGGAGGAACACCGGUGGCGAAGGCGGCGAUCUGGGUAGAUACUGACGCUGAGGUGCGAAAGCGUGGGGAGCAAACAGG